rnacentral:ncRNA from 2 species
AAUAAUUCUUGGGGGUGCCGUAACGGCUGAGAUUAUACCCUUUAACCUGAUCUGGGUAAUGCCAGCGAAGGGAAAGUGUCUUUUUCUUAU